rnacentral:lncRNA from 1 species
GUAUUUUAUCACAGCAACGGGAAAGUCAUGAAGAUGCCGUCUGAAAUUUUGUGAUUAAACACUGAAGCCACAAGAAAGGACACGAAUGACCAGGUGAGAAUUUACAUGCUCAUCACCCAUCGUCUUCCCAUGGAGUGCUCGGCUGCAGACGAGACAUCAUCACCCAUCGUCUUCCCGUGGAGUGCUCGGCUGCAGACGAGACAUCAUCACCCAUCGUCUUCCCAUGGAGUGCUCAGCUGCAGAUGAGACGUUAUAGCACACCCUCUCCACACAGGGCUGAGAGAACGUUUUAGAAAAGGGGGUGGAAAGACUCUAAGAGUCAGGGGCUGGGGAGGACUAGAAAAAACAGCCCUCCUGGUGGUGACAGGGGACUGUACUCAUGAACUCACAGCAGCAUGCUUGCCUGAACAAGACCUGCCCAAGGUCAAGCCAGUUACCACCAGUCCAGCACAGAUGCCUGAAGGUCACACAAGGCCCCGCCCCCAUCUGAGGAGCUGUGGACGGUGGCUGCUGGAGGAGGGAGAGACCGUUUUCUUGGCUGACCAUGCUCCAGCAGAUGACCCUGGACUCAUGCUUCUAUGGUCAUCAUUCAUCGGACUCAGCUCGUCACAUCCAAAUCAGGACAGGGUCAGAGUCAAGAAAAAUGCUGGAACUCCAUAA